UAAUACCGCAUGAGAUCUACAGAUCAAAGCAGGGCACCAUCGCGCCUUGUGCUACUAGAGCGGCUGAUGUCAGAUUAGGUAGUUGGUGGGGUAAAGGCUUACCAAGCCUGCGAUCUGUAGCUGGUCUGAGAGGACGACCAGCCACACUGGGACUGAGACACGGCCCAGACUCCUACGGGAGGCGGCAGUGGGGAAUUUUGGACCAUGGGCGAAAGCCUGAUCCGCCAUGCCGCGUGCAGGAUGAAGGCCCUCGGGUUGUAAACUGCUUUUGUACGGAACGAAAAGCCUGGUGCUAAUAUCCCCGGGUCAUGACGGUACCGUAAGCACCAGCACCGGCUAACUACGUGCCAGCAGCCGCGCUAAUACGUAGGGCGCAAGCGUUAAUCGCAAUUACUGGGCCUAUAGCUUGCGCAGGCGCUUUUGUAAGACAGUGGCCAAAUCCCCGGGCUCACCUGGCAACUGCCAUUGUGACUGCAAAGCUAGAGUGCGGCAGAUGGGAUGGAAUUCCACGUGUGCAGUGAGAUGCGUACUAUGCUGGGAACACCGAAGCGAAGCCAUCCCCUGGCCUGCCUGACGCUCUACACAUAGCAUCGAAGCAACAGAUUAGUUACCUGGAGUCCACGCCUAAACGAGUCGACUGGUGAGGGUCUUAUUUACUCGUAACGAACCAACAGUGAACUCACCGCCGGGGAGUACGACGCAAGUUCAACUCAAUGAAUGAAGGGACCACACAGCAGGAGUGAUUAGUUAAUUCAUGCAAAUUUAAACCUUCCCUCCUUGA
rnacentral:rRNA from 1 species